AAAAACUCGUAGUUGGAUUUCUGUCGAGGACGGCCGGUCCGCACUUUGUGCGUGUAUCUGGUUCGGUCUUGGCAUCCUCUUGGGGAACGUUUCUGUGCUUCGUUGCAUGGGGCGGGAUUCAAGACUUUUACUUUGAGGAAAUUAGAGUGUUCACGGCAAGCUAUCGCUUUGAAUACAUUAGCAUGGAAUAAUAAUAUAGGGCGUAAGUCCUAUUUUGUUGGUUUCUAGGACAUACGCAAUGAUUAAUAGGGACAAUUGGGGGCAUUCGUAUUAACGCGUCAGAGGUGGAAUUCUUAGAUUGCGUUACGACGAACUACUGCGAAAGCAUUUGCCAAGGAUGUUUUCAUUGAUCAAGAACGAAAGUAUGGGGAUCGAAGACGAUUAGAUACCGUCGUAGUCUAUACCAUAAACUAUGCCAAUUAGAGAUUGGAGGUCGUUCGUUUUAUGACUCCUUCAGCACUUUAUGAGAAAUCAAAAUUUUUGGGUUCCGGGGGGAGAUAUGGUCGCAAGGCUGAAACUUAAAGGAAUUGACGGAAGGGCACCACCAGGAGUGGAGCCUGUGGCUCAAUUUGACUCAACACGGGAAAACUUACCAGGUCCAGA
rnacentral:rRNA from 1 species